GGCAGUAGCUCAGUUGGUAGAGCAUUGGCUUCCCAAGCCAAGGGUCGCGGGUUCGAGUCCCGUUUGCC
rnacentral:tRNA from 2 species